CCGCGGAGGGGAGCUGCGCCGCUGAGGGGCGGUGGCUGCGCGCUCUCGGCACGGCUGAGAGCCGUGGGCCGGCUGGGAUCGGUUCCCACCUGUGUGCGCGCCGAGGCACGCGGGGGCUGCGCGGAACGGCGCUGAGGGCUGCGUGCGCCCCGGCCGCCCCCUCAGGGCACGGGCUGCCGCGCGGGCGGCUCCCGAAGGGCGCUGCUGUCUGCCUGGCGCUGGCGAGCGUCGCCUCCCGCCUCGGGACAGCCGGAGCGCAGCGGAGCUCGUGUAAUUCGUUUCACGCCCCCCGGCUGCCACAGCUCUCCCUCAGCACUUGAAAGGCCGAUGUCCCCGCAGGAAAUGAGUGAGCCGAUAACAUCUGACACCGCCGCCCGGUCCGGUGACCCCGACCUUAAUUCCACUAAUACUGGAGGCCUGAAAAUCGCAGGAAAGGCUCCUUGCACGCACACACCCCUAUUUCACAAAACCUGCAUUUAUUUUGCAGCGUAAAUACAAUAAAUAUAUGUGCGGUUACCGAUCCCUCGUUUUUAUUAAUCGAAAAACAUCGCAUAGUUAAUUUUAUUUUAAAUGAAAGGUACUGAGCAGAGACGUUUUGGAACCAUUUGAUGGGCUUGAGCAGCGUUUGUGCCAGUUCAUCCCACGCGCUUCCAUCCGAGGGGUCUUUCUUGCCAUGCAUAUAGAGUGCUUUUUGAAGGAGGGGCAGAGGGAGC